rnacentral:lncRNA from 1 species
GAGGUGGAGUCUCAAGUCUCGCUCUGUCACCCAGGUGGAGUGCAGUGGCAUGAUCUUGGCUCACUGCAAGCUCCGCCUCCCAGGUUCACGCCAUUCUUCUGCCUCAGCCUCCUGAGUAGCUGGGACUACAGGCGCCUGCCACCACGCCCAGCUAUUUUUUUGUAUUUUUAGUAGAGACAGGGUUUCACCAUGUUAGCCAGGAUGGUCUUGAUCUCCUGACCUCGUGAUCCACCCGCCUCGGCCUCCCAAAGUGGUGGGAUUACAGUCGCUUUGUUUUUUAAACCCUCAGUUAUUCAGCUUGUUUGUCCUAUCAAAAUUAGUGUGUUUCAUGAGAUAAUUGCUCAAUUCUCCAUUUCUUUUUGGUACAAGUAGUCUCCAUAGAAAUCAUGAGGUGAUAAGGUAAACACUUGGUGUUGCUGCUGCUGAUUAUUUUUAUUAGUUUGAAUGUUUUAUAAAAAGCCAUUUUCCACAAGGGAUUGGAGGUAUCCUUGCUUAUAGAAAUUCCAAAAGGAAGAUGCCUUUCAAAAAAGUCUUGAAGAGUAAAAUGUAUUCCUAAAGAUGAUUAUAGCAUUUUAUUUAAACAUUUCCAUAAAACACCCCCCAUGCCCACCCCCAGUGUUCCCUAGGCACAGUAACCUUGGAAGUUGGAAGAAUCAAAGCUGGUCCAUUCCAUUCAGAGAGGAGGCCAUCUCAAAGCAGCCAGGUGAGUGAAGGCAGCCUGUCAUCUUUCACUUUUCCACUCUCUGGAUCCAGUACAUCUGAGUCACUGGAAAGUAGCUCAAAGAAGAAUGCAUGUAAGAUUGGUUCAGUAUUUUAAACAUGGUUUGAAUUUGGCUGUCAACACUGAUUUUUUUGUCUUGUUUACCUCUGAGCUUUCUUUUCCCCCAAAUCAUCCCAUAUCCAAAUAUAGGUACAAAAACACGUGUUAGCAAAAAGUCUGAACAACAUGAAGUUCUGCCUAUGGCAGCUUUUCCCAUUUGAUGUUUACCCUACAAGAUACACUAAACAUUAUAAUCAGGAUUCUGUAAUUUUUUUUUCUUACUAAGCAGAUUGGUGUUUUUGAUUUUAUUCCUUUUCUGUGUUUAAUGUAACACCAGUAAAUCAGAAGAUGCCAUUAAGUGAAGCCUUCUUUUUCCAUGAAGAUUGCAAAAAUUUGAGAAAAUUAAUGUGAUCCUCCUGUGUUUUAAUUACGUGAAAUCAUGCUGCAGAGGGAUUUUUGGCUUGGUGCAUUGGUUGAGAGUUGUUCAAAUUGAAGAAACUAACAAUAUGGCAAUCUCUGUUUGCAGUAUGACUAAUAUUCUAGAAAUUUAGGCACUUAAAUUUGUGAAUUUUUUUAAUGCAUCCAUGACUUUAUUCCUCUCAGCCGUGCACAUGUGCCUUUCUAUGCAAAACACAUUCUGCCCUUGACUCAUUCAAAGUGGAUUACAUAGUUAUAUAAUCAACACUUAAAAUGAGAAGGAAGAAUGGGAUGGUAUACACGUUUUUCCAACUGGAAAAAUAAAUAGUUCUGUGUAAGACAGAUCUAAUCAUGUGUACUAGCAGCUUUGAG